CUUACAGUAUGUCUGCAGGAAAUGCAAAAGCCUCCUUAUGUUCUCAAGAUUUGACAUUGCUACUGAGCAAAUUGGUGCAGAAGAAAGUCUGAGUCAGACAAGUGAGAUGGAGAAAGCAAAGCUUUCUUCUUGGGAAAGUCAAUUUGUGGCAGACUCAGAAUCCAUGGCACUGUGAAAGGCCAAGAUAAAGUACGUUAGACUUUUUUAUAACUUCGACUUGAAGUGGAAAUAUGUAAGCUUUUACUAAUUUAUAUCAUGAAAAUGUAAAUAUUUA
rnacentral:lncRNA from 1 species